rnacentral:rRNA from 1 species
UAGGGAAUCUUCCGCAAUGGACGCAAGUCUGACGGAGCAACGCCGCGUGAGUGAAGAAGGAUUUCGGUUCGUAAAACUCUGUUGUUAGAGAAGAACAGCGCAUAGAGUAACUGUUAUGCGUGUGACGGUAUCUAACCAGAAAGCCACGGCUAACUACGUGCCAGCAGCCGCGGUAAUACGUAGGUGGCAAGCGUUGUCCGGAUUUAUUGGGCGUAAAGCGAGCGCAGGCGGUCAAUUAAGUCUGAUGUGAAAGCCCCCGGCUCAACCGGGGAGGGUCAUUGGAAACUGGUUGACUUGAGUGCAGAAGAGGAGAGUGGAAUUCCAUGUGUAGCGGUGAAAUGCGUAGAUAUAUGGAGGCACACCGGUGGCGAAAGCGGCUCUCUGGUCUGUAACUGACUCUGAGGCUCGAAAGCGUGGGGCGCGAACAGG